AUUGAUGUGGCUGAAUAUAAGCGGUAAAUUGUAAAUUUAUUUAUAAUAGGGAUAUUCAUCAUUA
rnacentral:tRNA from 1 species